AUGGAGAGUUUGAUCCUGGCUCAGGACGAACGCUGGCGGCGUGCUUAACACAUGCAAGUCGAACGGAAAGGCCCUGCUUUUGUGGGGUGCUCGAGUGGCGAACGGGUGAGUAACACGUGAGUAACCUGCCCUUGACUUUGGGAUAACUUCAGGAAACUGGGGCUAAUACCGGAUAGGAGCUCCUGCUGCAUGGUGGGGGUUGGAAAGUUUCGGCGGUUGGGGAUGGACUCGCGGCUUAUCAGCUUGUUGGUGGGGUAGUGGCUUACCAAGGCUUUGACGGGUAGCCGGCCUGAGAGGGUGACCGGCCACAUUGGGACUGAGAUACGGCCCAGACUCCUACGGGAGGCAGCAGUGGGGAAUAUUGCACAAUGGAGGAAACUCUGAUGCAGCCAUGCCGCGUGUGUGAAGAAGGCCUUCGGGUUGUAAAGCACUUUCAGUUGUGAGGAAAGCUUGUUGGUUAAUACCCAACAGGUAUGACGUUAGCAACAGAAGAAGGACCGGCUAACUCCGUGCCAGCAGCCGCGGUAAUACGGAGGGUCCGAGCGUUAAUCGGAAUUACUGGGCGUAAAGCGCACGCAGGCGGUUUGUUAAGCUAGAUGUGAAAGCCCCGGGCUCAACCUGGGAAUAGCAUUUAGAACUGGCAGACUAGAGUCUUGGAGAGGGGAGUGGAAUUUCUGGUGUAGCGGUGAAAUGCGUAGAUAUCAGAAGGAACAUCAGUGGCGAAGGCGACUCCCUGGCCAAAGACUGACGCUCAUGUGCGAAAGUGUGGGUAGCGAACAGGAUUAGAUACCCUGGUAGUCCACACCGUAAACGCUGUCUACUAGCUGUUUGUGGAUUUAAUCCGUGGGUAGCGAAGCUAACGCGAUAAGUAGACCGCCUGGGGAGUACGGCCGCAAGGUUAAAACUCAAAUGAAUUGACGGGGGCCCGCACAAGCGGUGGAGCAUGUGGUUUAAUU
rnacentral:rRNA from 1 species